AGGAGAGAGAAAGUUUUGACAAUAUUCUUUUUAACCUGUGGUUCUUAAUAAGAUUUUUGCAGGAUUGUUUUAGGUUAGGAAGGAAUCAAAUCUCUGAUCAAGAGAGAUGAUGCUGAUUUAUUAGAGGGGUUUUAAAGUAUUGAAUAAAGACCUUGCUCCAGGUAGAGAGUACAGAAUUUACUACUUCUAGGAGAGAGAAUUUCACGAUUUCCACAGUGGGGAGGAAACUUCAACUACCACCUUUUGUAUCUAUCCAUGGUGACUAGAAGAUAAUCAGAUUUUUUAAAUCAAAGGAAUUGCUUUAGUUAUAGCUGCUAGAUUACACAGAAGUGGACAUUUAAAGCAGAGACAUCCAAGCUUAAACAAUGAUAACAAAUUUUGCUGAGCCCUCACCAUGUGCAGGCUCUAUGUGAAGCCAUUUAAAUGUACAGUCUCAUUUAACCUUUACAUCGUCCCUGCGGGUUAGAUGUUAGUAUUAUCUCCACUUAACAGCUAAAGAAACCGAGACUGAGAGUAGCUAAGUGACUUUAGCAAGUGGUGGCACCAAGAUUUGAACCCAGGUAGCCUGGCUCCUGAGCAGGGCCUCAACCACCAUGCUCUUUUGAGCAUAACUAAGUUAUAAGUAAUCUGGUUAAUGUCAAAACCAUAUUAUACAUGGCUUCCACUGGCUCUGGCUGCUUUUGCUUUCAUGGGCUCUUUCCUCUCUAAAAGACUUCAAAUUUCUAUGUUAUGACUGCACAGCAUAAAGAUGGAUAUAUUAAUAUUAAAAAAAAGCUUCUUUUUUUUUUUUUACCAAGAAGUCUACCUUUUUAAUGUUUAACACUUCGGUGGGCCCCUAAAAAAGACCAUGGGUCCUGAGCAAUGCAGCUACUAUGCCUGCUGGAGAUGUCGGCACAUAGAUGGCUGGUGUGAUAAAAAUAGCCAAGAUGAGAAUGUGAGGUCAUGUAGCAUCCUUUCUGAUUACAACCAAAUCCAUUUCUAAUCAACGAUGGUAAUGGAACAAAUGGAAAUAACAUGAGAAAAGGAUUGGGGUGGCUUCCAUCUCCCUUGAUUUUGGGGGACACAUGGCUUGGGUGCUUUCCUGUUGUUUCACCAUUGCCACUGCAGAAAUGAUGAGGUCUUUAUGGGCUUGACCUUAAUCAAUAUACAGUUGACCCUAGGCCAACAUGGAUUUGACCUGUGUGGGUCCACUUAGACAUGGAUUUUUUCAAAUGAAAAAAUACACUGGAAAAUCUUUUGGAUAUUUGUGAUAAUUCAAGAAAACAUUUGAUUAUUUCUCUCUUACUAGAACAUUACUAUUAUAUACUUAUUGUAAGAAUACAGUAUAUAAUACAUAUAAUAUACAACAUACGUGUUAACUGACUGUGUAUGUUAUUGGUAGGGCUUCGGUCCAUGGUAGGCUCUUUGCAGUUAAGUUUUGGGAGAGUCAAAAGUUAUAUGUGGGUUUUAGACUGCAUGGGGGUGUUCAGUACCCCUAAUCCCAUUUUUCAAGGAUCAACUGUACUGUGGUUUAGUUUAAAACCAAACAAACAAAUAAAUUUGGGUCCUUAACUGAUAAUACUGCCUACAAACUAACAGACUACUAGUUAGAGAUGGCCAGUGUUUUAGAGACAAGAUGAGCUGCUUGGUCAGGAUUCUGAUCUCCUACUGUUUAUGAUGGGGGUGAUUCCCUGGAAACAUGGGGAAAAGCCAGUUAAACUCUUCAGUCCUCACUCACAGCAACAGACUGUAGUUUCUGUCCCAAACAGAAACAAACUUCAUCCAUUACCACUUCUCCCCAACCCAAUAAUGCCUCACUUGGCCCAUUCUACCUAACAAAUGAGCGGUUUCCCUGAGAAGUUGUUGAAUCUCAAGUUUUGGCUCAGACUUGAAUAUAUUCUGAAUAAAAGAAGUAAGGGGAAAACAUCGAUUUUUAGUUUCCAAACUGUUACCGGACACUCACCCUAAAUACGGGGUGAAUCCAAACAAGAAUAACGAUGUUAGGGUUUAGUAUCUGUUUUGCUUUAUGAUAAGAGUAAUUUCAAGUUAUCUUUGGGUGAACUGGAUUCCUUGCAUGAAGGUCCCUCAGUGAUACACAUAACAACCUGAAUGAGAUUUACGGGUAGACGUUAUCUGAAAUUCCUGUCUAUUAAGGCAAUGGUUUAAAAGGGAAUAGGCAUGCAUAUUUUAUUAAGCAAGGAAAAUGUUCCAGGAAUCCAGGGUAAAAUAUUUCCCUUGUAGUUUUUAACUCAUUUAAAAUCAUGUGAUUUUACUGACUUAUUUCUUUACAAGACUCGUUUAAACCAGAGGACAGAUAACCAGGUAUACAGCAUUAUAGACUGCAUUUGAAAAUUGGGCAUUGUUUACCUGAAAAAUGAUAAAGGAUGUGAAUCUUGGAUUCUCUUAAGAUCAUAGCUAACAAAAGGCAAAAAGUUAAAGGGUGACUGAUAAGAAAAUGACAGAUGAUUGAAUGGAUGGAUACAUGAAUAGAUUAAUGAAUAGAUAGAAAAACAGAUAGAUGGAUAAUACAGAUGAAUGAAUUAAUAGAGACACAAAUGGAUAGACAAGUAGAUGACAGAUAAUAGAAAGAUAUUCAUAGAUCAAUACAUGGUUAGAAAAUGGACAGCUAGACGCACAUGGGUGAAUAGAUGACUGGGAAGCAGAAUAAAUAGUUGAUGUAUAAAUGAAUAUAGCUAGAUGAAUGGAUAGAUAGAUGCUAGAGAUUGAUGAAUGUUAGGAUAAAUUCAGAAUGAAAUUGUAGAUGGAUGUAAGGGUACACCACCAUCAGGAUUGUACCCAACUGGAAUGGAAUACAAAUGAAGAUAAUGACAUUUCUUUUCAUGGAGCUAUUUCUAAAUAGUUUAACUAUUUUGGGGGAAGUAUAGGCUGGAGGCAAGAAAUUAGUCCGUCUCUAUGAGCCCUCAAGUUUCACAAUGAAUGUCUCAAUGAUGGGAAGAAGAGACGUGGGUGUGCCAUGAUUUAUCCCCUUCUCUAUCUUCCGUAACGCUCAGUCCUGGCCCAUUUGGCCUCUGUGGUACACACUAGAACAGUGUGAGAUGUGCAGAGCGGAGGAAGCGCAGGGCAGCCUCCAGGCUUCCUUGGUGACACAUAAAAGUCAUCCCUUUGCCUCUUGUUUAACUCUGAUAUUCACAUAUACCUUCGCUGGUCGACCUACUCAGGAAGGCCUGGUGCUGUAAUUAAUCCAUGUCACAGGAAGAUGUAGUGUCCUCAGAGUUUAUGAGUGGGUUUGAGCUGCUGUGAUGAGUAUGGGCACCUCAGCCAGUGUGAUAUAAAUUCCUCUGCUAAUGGAUUGCUGGAGCUAAUCAGAAGCCAGAAAGGGAAUAAAAACUCCACGUUCUUGCUGCAGCCGCUGCUGCUGGCUGAUAAAGCAGACAGACCCUUUCAGGACGGGGUGCUGGAAUUGAAUCCUCAUGUGGAGGUCUUACUCUAGAUGGCUAUCUCAGAGGCGACGCAUCCCUUCUGUCACCAGGCCCGAGGAGACAGACGAAGCAGUGGGAGGAAAGAGCAGAAUGAUCCCAAAGAGAUGUUGCUAACGAAUCACAGAAACAGAGUGAACAGGGCAGAGAUGAAAGGAUAGGACAUCAAGGUGGGGGUGGCCCUCCAAUAGCCUCAGAGAGCCAGCAGCUUUUUCUGAAACGAAGUGCCACUCCCUGGGACUCCUGACCAUGCCUGACGCCCACUUGGGGGUGCAGCUUCAGGAGGCCUGGUCUCCACAGCCAGGAGAAAGUCAUCCCAAGCGUGCCCUUGAGCUGAAGACUGUGCCCACUUUCCAGAAGGGGAAAAAGCCAACGGGAGGAUGCAAAUUCCACUCGGUGCCAGGGCAAGUGCAGUUCGGGAAGCUCAGAUGAACUGACCCAGCUGCAAGGAGGGAAGGAGGAAAAGGCCAAGGUCCCACACUUCCUGCCUGCUGGAAAACCGUGGGCACAGAUCAGCUGACGGGGACGCUGCACCUGCUCCCAGGUUUCAGAUGAGGGCAGAGAAAGCGAGCUUGUGUUCGGCAUUCUGUGUUCCACCUCCACCAAGGAUAAACGGUUCAUUCCAGCUGCAAGAGUGAACCGUGUAUAUAACAGGGCCCUGGUUGGACCUUGGUGGUCUUUUUCUGUUCUUUGCUCGUCUAAGGCUCUACCACUUCUCCUUAGAGGGAAAUGUAUCCCUAAUAUAUUUGGCUCCACCAAGCUGGGAGCCCUGCAUUUAUCUUUAAAUUCCUCCUUUUGUCUUUUCCUGUGAUCACCACUUCUUCGCCCCUAUUUCUUCCGGUGCCCUCUCCAUACGCUAAAUCCUUAGCCAUGAUGAGUAGGCAGCCAGCCCCUCUUGCACACAACAAAGACUUCUAUUUUUUUUUCUUUCUAUCUUUUGGGCGACACGAUAAAAAAUAACCCUGUAUUUAUGCAAAUUGCAAAGUAGCGUGUGAUAAUGAAAACAAAACAGCGCUGGCCCGCAGCCAAGACAUGGCACUGACGGGGGCUCCCGACCAUUUGGCUCUUGAUGCUUCGGGGAGAGCAGCUGUAGAGAAAGGAGCACACACAACACCCUGGCCACACGCGCACUCCCACGCGCACACCCUCGUCCGCACGCAUUCCGGUACCGUCACCUCGGAGCCUGCAAGCCCUGGGAUCCGAAUGAAGUUCUGUCUCCUACCGCCGCGGGCACUUCAGCGUCGUCCCCCACGAGCCUCCCUGCCCCCUGCCUGCUCCUGAUUCCCUUUCAGGAAUUUACAAACAUUUCCCACAGAUCAAUAUCUGUAUUGAUUAUUCAUUGUGAGUGAGUCGUGGGUCUUUGGUGAUCCAGCCUGCAGAGGUAGCAGCCAAAGCCUGCUGCAGGGGGAAAAAAAAUAACAGAAGGCGAGAAGGGCCCCGCUCGGUCUGCGGCUGGCUGUCGGCAGCACAGAAGCGAAGAGGAGCAAGGCGCUGCAAGACGAAGGCAGGCACAAGGGCGGAUGAGAAAGCGGGAGCAAUAGCAAGAAAGACGAAGUGGUGCCCGGACGUCUGGUUCCAGGGUUCUCCGUGGCCUGGAGGAAACCCCCAUCUUGGGUCUGCUGUAGGUGCCACAUGCAGGGGACUCGCUCUGGGAGGGCGAAGUGACUCACAGUUUUGGUAUCUCCUACGUAAGAGCUUUGGGGGGUUCCUUGGCUUGCUGACAAGAAAGAAGAAAGCAGCAGUGAGGUACAACACGACUCCUUCCAACUGCCUUGCGGAGGAUACGCAGUCGCUUGGUUUGCUGGAACAGCUUGCUGCUCUCUGAUGGCACGCAGAGGGAGAAUAAUUAAAAAGGCCAGCGUCACUUACUAAGAUUUCUGGGACUGCAAGGUCAAUAGGUGCGAUGUCUUCCUUCUGCCUGGGGUUUUACUCUUCUGGAGCUUCUUUAUUUUGGACUCCCCAGUACAUUCAGUAGAUUCCGGAGCACUCCAUUCAUGCUAGUUGAAUGAAUGCUGAGAAAGCUGCUCACCACUGAAGGAACAAUGGGGAUGGUUUGGCCAAAGCGCACGACACAGGUCUGAGUCUCGGUGGAGUGGGAAGCUUGAGAGCUGGUUUCACACAGCACCUCGUUGAGUGAUGGGACGGGGUAUAUGGAGCCCAAGGCGACUGACUGAACGCAGAGCCGGAGCAAAGGAAAGGGCUUCUCCCCGAGCAGCACGGCAGCUUGCGGGUGGCGCUGUGGCGAAGCAGAACCGUGGGAAGUGUCAACCUAACUCAGACGCGAGCACUUGUGCCGUAUGGGCCCCGCAGGCCGCCCUCAGCGACUGGCUCAGUGAUGCGGGGUAUCCCAGCUUCGGCUGCAGGGGGAAGCUGGCAGGCAGCAGUGCCACCAGAUUUGGGAAUGACAAGAGGCAGUGCUUUCGCGUGGACAGUGGCUGUGCACCCUCACAGCAGCCAUGACAGUGGCCGAUACGUGGCAGAGGACUCAGCAAUCAGUGAGAGUGGAGGGGACUAGUGUGAGCGCACAUGCAUCCCCCACUGGGUUACUCUCCAGGCACCCGGGGGAGAUUCUGGGUGAGGAUGAAGGUCCUACAAUUGCAGGUAGAAGGCGAAGCCACCCGCUUCGCCAUGACCCCAGCUCCACACUGGCAGGACCUGGAGAAGUUUGGUAUCUUGGCACCUUGUACCGAGACACCCUGUGAAGGACGGACGGGAGGAUGGCUGUCAGAGGCAGGCCAGUGCCUGCAGUCAAACUCUACUCCCGUGGGCAAGGACACCUGAUUGAGAAGCUUCCAGCUCUAUUUCCCCAAAGCUAAAAGCAGUUACCACAUCGUUCUCUUAUUUUUGAUUUGCUCAUUUUUCUCCUCUUGUAAGCUGUAAGCUCCCUGAUGAAAGGGACUAUGUUUUAUUCUUCAGAUUCCCACUACUCAACACGGUGUCAGGCAAACAGCAGACAGCCAAUAUUUGUUGGGUGAAUAGAGAAAUAUGUGAAUAAAACAUGAGAUGUCACAAAUGUGACGGCCAUCUGAGAUGAGCCGAUGUAAAUCAAUGAGGGCUGUGUCCAAGGACAUUUUCCAGAAAGAAGUAGAAGACCCCAUUCAGACCUCUGCAGGGGCCGAGGAGCAUAGAGGGGAAUGGAAUAUGUAUAGUUGUACAGUCCAAAGCCGGCUCCUACAUGGGCUUUUAGAACUUUCUGGAACCUCACCAGAUUGUAGUCCCUAGUGAUGGUCUAGGUGUUCCAAAACAGGUCCCUGCAACUCUGUGAAGAGUGGUAGUCUGAUACCCCAACUACUUUGAGGUCUUGAUAAUUGAAGAAGAGAAAGGGUAAGAAAAGGAAGGGACUUCCCAGGGGAGAAGGAAAGGCUGAUGCACUUGCGCUGCCUCUUUAGAUCUGUGGACUUCCAGAGGGUUGGAUCCUUGGCCUUGAACAGUGAUCAGAUGUACUUCGGUGGGUUACGGGCCUCAGGCGGCUGUGGGGUGGCAGACACUGUCACAGCAAGAGGCCACACAUCCAUCUUCUCCUGGAAUAUAGUGAGGAGCUCCACUCCUCAGUCCCAGGCUUCAGCCAAGGUUACCCGGGCACAGUCCUGGUAAGGCUAGGUGAGGUUCACCGGCCGACAGGUGGGCACCUGUCUUCUGAUUCCCAGCCCCAGAGUUGAGACACUCUAAGUGAGGGCUGGUCCAUGGUCCUGAAGCAUCCUGAGAGCCAGGCCCUGCUGGAAGCCUUUGUGAUCACUCGGGUCUGGCUUGCUCCUCAUGGCCAGGGGCUUGGAGGAAUGAGGCUAGAACAGCAAAGGGCUCCUAAGUCGCAGAUUUAACGGUCCGUGUUCCCUAGCAGGACUUCUCCAGCUAUAUUUGGGGCUGUGAGCACAGGGCUCAGGACAGGAAGUCUAGAGGUAAAUGGACUGGGAAUGCAGAUUUUGGGCUGACUGGGUCCCUAAGUAGCCAGCUGGGCCACUGCCACCCAUUGAGCCCUGAGGUGCUGGGGGUGGGAGGGCAGGCUUUAGGUAGUAGUUUGAUUAUGCCUCUUACGGAGUAUGGGCUUUGGGGAUCUUUUCCAGCUAUACAGAUCUCUCAGUUAAUCUUUACUUACUGUUAAUUCCACCUUAUUUAAGAGAGUGAGAGGAAGAAAAAGAGAGAGAGAGAGAGAGCACAUGAGUGAGCCAUAGCAACACGUUUUCCUUUUAAGUGUUUGUAUCCUAACGCAAAUCUACAUAUUCUUUAGGGGAUGACAUUCUUAAAAUAAGCAACAAUUUGAAGUAUACUUUUCUAUUCUUAAAACUUGCAACUGCCUUCAGUUAAUUCCCAAAUAAUUACAUUUUAUACAAACUAGUAGCCCUAAAAGAGUUCCUUAGUUCUUGACUGUUGACAAACUGAGGGUUAUUGACAUUUUUAUGAUAUAAUAUUGAGUGUUUUCAGAAUGGAAGAUACAUCCUUUAUAUGAAGUUGAUACAUACGCAUAUUUGCCUCAAAUUUUCCAGCACAAAAUGUGUGUGUGAGCAUAUAUGUGUAUUUAAUAUGUUUAUGUAUAUAUGUGCAUGUGUUAAUGGGAAUGUGUGCAUGCAUAUGUAUGUAUACUCUGUAGAUUUGUAAGCUUGUGUGUGUGUGUGUGUGUGUGUGUGUGUGUGUUGUGGGCCAAAGGAGGUUAUGAUAGGUGUCUUUAUUCUCUGCUGUGUGGACUAGAAGGAAGUGUCUGCUUUUCUGGACCAUGUCAGGGCAAAGAUGUUGCUUUCUAUUCUUAUACUGAGAUGAAGUUUUUUUAAAAAAAUUGAAAACCAUGUUUUUAUUCCAAAAGACUGAGUAGGAUGAUACUUUAAAAAUAAUUUAAGUCAUUUAAAUUUCAGGCCCUGAAAAAAUUCCCAUCCAUGGUCCAAAUCUACUCUCUGGCUCAGAGCCCAAAGCAUUUUCAUUAGAUUGAGAAUUGGAUACAAUUUCAUUCACUUGAAGCUUCUGCUACUCAGAAUUCUGUUCUUCAGCGACAAGCUAACAACUGUUGAUGGACAUGUUGGCCUCAAUAAUAGGUCUCCUUUUCUUGAAUGAUCUGUUUCAGUUGCAUUAUUACCAUUUAAAGAUGGCCUUGUGCUUUCAGACACAUUUUCUGUCAGUGUAUGAAGAAUGCUGAUAUUCUUGUAUAUAGUUUUGCCUUUAUAGUUAGUAACUUGUUUGGAGAAAAUAUCCUUAUGUUCCAUGAAGCCAUUUGCAAAAGAGAGGCUAUCUAAAGAUUUCUCUUCAGCACUCAUUCUUGCUAUUACAAAGGGAGAUUUGGUCCAACUAUACUAAGAUUUCUUUAAGUUUUAAAAAAUUAAUUAGUGAAAAUUUUAUGGUGGCCUUUUCUGAAGAGAGUAUUGGCAUAUCAGUAAGAAAAAGACAGAUAACCCUCAGAAGAAUGGGCAAAAGACUGGAUAGGCACUUCACCAAAAAGAGAAAUCUAAAUGGCCAAUCAGUGCUCAAAUUUGUUGGAAUUAAGAAAAUGCAAAUUAAACCUACAGUGAGAUACUACUUCCACACCCACUGACUUGGCAAAAAUUGAAGUAUGACAAUUACAACUCUUAGCAUGGGCCUAAGAACAAUCAGACACCCACACACUGCUGGCAGGAACGUAAAGACACUUUGGGAAAUAGUUUUGCAUCAGUUAAUAAAGUUGAAAAGUUGUAUGUGCUUUGACCUGACAAAUCCCUUUCUAUAACUUAAAGCAGUGGCUCUCAAAGUGUGGUCCCUGCUCCUGGCAGCAUCUGCUUCCUGGGAACUUUCUGGAAGUGUGAACUCUCAGAUCCUACUCCAGCUCUACUGAACUGACACUCUGAGGUGGGACUGCACCCUCUGUGGACUCCCUGGGUGAUGAUGAGCCCUCACCUGAGAGAAACCUGUGAGCACACGCCCAGGAUGCCUGAUCAGAAUGUUCACCGCAGCAACCAUGUAUCCAUCGACAGGAAUACUUUGCAUUCUAUUUGUGCAAUGGAAUAGUACACUGCAAUGAACAUGAAUGCAUUUUGUGGAUGAAUCUUAAUCAUUAUAUUGACCAAAAGAAGCAAGACAGAUACAUAAGAACCUCAAGAAAAGCAAGGAAAUGAUUACUAUAAAACCUAGGAAAAUGGUUACCUGUAUUGGAAAAGGAGGUUACAAUUAAAAAGGAACUCACAGUCAGGGGCUGGGGCUUCUGAGGGGCUGGCAAUGUUCCCUGCUUUGAUCUAGGAGGUGAUUACAUACUUGUUUCCUUUAUGAUUAUACUUGAAACCGUAUAUAUGUGCUUUUCCAAAUGUGUAUUACACUUUACAAUGAAAACAAACAAUUGUGUCUACUGAAACUAUUUAGUGCUGCUACCCACAUGGAGUUUCACCAAAUUAUAAUCUACCUUCCUUCAUAAAUCUGCUUAAUUCUGCUUCCCACUAUAAGAAGCUGUCUGUUCUAUUACAUCACUAUUUUUGUUCUUACUCUUUGUGUCUUCCACGUGGAAAGCCAGUUAGGAACAGACUCUAAGUCGAUCAUUUAUCAGCCAGAGUCACUGUCCAUAUGUGGAGAAGUCCAAAAACAAACUGUAGGGACAGCCUCUCAGUGGGAAAGCUUGAUGCCACUUACAGGAGCCAGGUUUCUGCUGCCAGUUACAAGUGACUGUUGUUAAUCUGUGACCUUCUUCAGUGAUUGCCAUUAGACUGAUUCAUGCAAAGUAAGAUGGGAAAAAACAACAUAUUUGUUCUUUUAAGUAUAAUACUGAUAUUACAGGAGCUAGUUGGCUCAUACUUCAGCUGUCCAUGUUUAUAGCAGAAGUGCUUUUCAAAUGCUUUUGAAGCCAAGUCCUUAGUUUUUUUUUCUUUAAAUUAAGACAAGUGUAGUUUUC